rfam:Mycoplasma sp. (ex Biomphalaria glabrata), complete genome.
GGAUCCUUAGCUCAGCGGCAGAGCUGUCGGCUCAUAACCGAUUGGUCACAGGUUCGAUCCCUGUAGGAUCCA